rnacentral:lncRNA from 1 species
GAUUUUUGGGCGCGGCUGUGCCCGUGGCCUAUUUUUGGCACACGGAGGCCGCCCGCCAAGUCUGGGGCCAUUCCGAGUCCCACGGACGAACUUCGCCCACGCCCCACACAUAGGGUAUAGCCCACCCGUUUUUUGGCCAUUUUUCCGCUGGGGGGUCUUGGGACCCCGACCUUCGGGGGCUGAUUUUUGGGCGCGGCUGUGCCCGUGGCCUAUUUUUGGCACACAGAGGCCGCCCGCCAAGUCUGGGGCCAUUCCGAGUCCCGCGGACGAACUUCGCCCACGCCCCCCACAUAGGCUAUAGCCCACCCGUUUUUUGGCCAUUUUUCCGCUGGGGGGUCUUGGGACCCCGACCUUCGGGGGCUUAUUUUUUGGCGCGGCUGUGCCCGUGGCCUAUUUUUGGCACACGGAGGCCGCCUGCCAUGUCUGGGGCCAUUCCGAGUCCAGCGGACGAACUUCGCCCACGCCCCCCACAUAGGCUAUAGCCCACCCGUUUUUUGGCCAUUUUUCCGCUGGGGGCUCUUGAGACCCCGACCUUGGGGGGCUGAUUUUUAGGCGCGGCUGUGCACGUGGCCUAUUUUUGGCACACGGAGGCCGCCCACCAAGUCUGGGGCCAUUCCGAGUCCCGCGGACGAACUUCGCCCACGCCCCCCACAUAGGCUAUAGCCCACCCAUUUUUCCGCUUGGGGGUCUUGGGACCCCGACCUUCGGGGGCUGAUUUUUGGGCGCGGCUGUGCCCGUGGCCUAUUUUGUUCACACGGAGGCCGCCCGCCAACUCUGGUGCCAUUCCGAGUCCCGCGGACGAACUUCGCCCACGCCCCCCACCAAGGCUAUAGCCCACCAGUUUUUUGGCCAUUUUUCCGCUGGGGGGUCUUGGGACCCCGACCUUCGGGGGCUGAUUUUUGGGCGCGGCUGUGCCCGUGGCCUAUUUUUGGCACACGGAGGCCGCCCGCCAAGUCUGGGGCCAUUCCGAGUCCCGCGGACGAACUUCGCCCACGCCCCCCACCAAGGCUAUAGCCCACCCGUUUUUUGGCCAUUUUUCCGCUGGGGGGUCUUGGGACCCCGACCUUCGGGGGUUGAUUUUUGGGCGCGGCUGUGCCCGUGGCCUAUUUUUGGCACACGGAGGCCGCCCGCCAAGUCUGGGGCCAUUCCGAGUCCCGCGGACGAACUUCGCCCACGCCCCCCACCUAGGCUAUAGCCCACCCGUUUUUUGGCCAUUUUUCGGCUGGGGGGUCUUGGGACCCCCACCUUCGGGGGCUGAUUUUUGGGCGCGGCUGUGCCCGUGGCCUAAUUUUGGCACACGGAGGCCGGCCGCCAAGUCUGGGGCCAUUCCGAGUCCGGCGGACGAACUUCGCCCACGCCCCCCACCAAGGCUNN